AUGAGCGGCACCCCUUUCUCCGUCUGGUCGCGCGCACCUCAGCGCCUCGGUGCUUGGGCUCAGCAAUAUUCUCCCCUGCUUCCAAUCCAGGCUGCCCCUCGCUUAUUUCCUCGGUCGGUUUUACGUCCGAGCCCGCCCCGGGACCACGGACAGCUUUUGGUGGCGCGCGGUGCUGGCGUGGAGCGGCUCCGGGGUCACGCCUGGCGGCACGCGACCAGCUUUCCUAGUAGCUGUUUAACGGGCUCUUCCAACCUGCCUGUCCUGUCCCGGGCGACCGAGCUCCUUCACGUCGCGGUGCCUCAGGGCUCCGGGCGCCCCGCCGCGCGCUGCAGAAAUCGUACAACGGAGCGGGAAGCGAGCAGGAAAUCGUAUCGUCUCAGACCGAGGCGGGAAAAGGCACCGCCGCCUGCUCCCCUGCCGAUCUUUGCGCGGAUUCCGCUUGAGCAAUGGAAAGCCGCGCGUCCCGUAAUGCCCCGGAACACAGCUUCGGUGACUGGUUCCCCGAACGGACUGAUGGGGGGGAAAAACAGCGCCGCCUGCUCACCUGCCGAUCCUUGCCUGGGUGCUGCUCGAGCAACGGAAGGCCACCUGUCCCGGAGUGCCCCGGAACCCAGCUUCAGUGGCCGGUUGCCCGAACAGGAGCUUCCAACAAACGGCAGACUCAGGCUUCACGGGUCAGAGACGGAGCGAACGUGA
rnacentral:lncRNA from 1 species